GACGAACGCUGGCGGCGUGCCUAACACAUGCAAGUCGAACGGGGUUACGAGAGCUUGCUCUUGUGACUUAGUGGCGAACGGGUGAGUAACGCGUGAGAAACCUGCCUCUCAGUGGGGGACAACAGUUGGAAACGACUGCUAAUACCGCAUAACACUUUAGUACCGCAUGGUACAGAAGUCAAAGCUUUAUGUGCUGAAAGAUGGUCUCGCGUCUGAUUAGCUAGAUGGCGGGGUAACGGCCCACCAUGGCGACGAUCAGUAGCCGAGCUGAGAGGCUCAACGGCCACAUUGGGACUGAGAUACGGCCCAGACUCCUACGGGAGGCAGCAGUCGGGAAUAUUGCGCAAUGGAGGAAACUCUGACGCAGUGACGCCGCGUAUAGGAAGAAGGUUUUCGGAUUGUAAACUAUUGUCAUUAGGGAAGAAAAAAGACUGUACCUAAGGAGGAAGCCCCGGCUAACUAUGUG
rnacentral:rRNA from 1 species